AACGAACGCUGGCGGCAUGCCUAACACAUGCAAGUCGAACGAGACCUUCGGGUCUAGUGGCGCACGGGUGCGUAACGCGUGGGAACCUGCCCUUAGGUUCGGAAUAACUCCCCGAAAGGGGUGCUGAUACCGGAUAAUGUCUUCGGACCAAAGAUUUAUCGCCUUUGGAUGGGCCCGCGUUGGAUUAGCUAGUUGGUAGGGUAAAAGCCUACCAAGGCGACGAUCCAUAGCUGGUCUGAGAGGAUGAUCAGCCACACUGGGACUGAGACACGGCCCAGACUCCUACGGGAGGCAGCAGUGGGGAAUAUUGGACAAUGGGCGAAAGCCUGAUCCAGCAAUGCCGCGUGAGUGAUGAAGGCCUUAGGGUUGUAAAGCUCUUUUACCCGGGAUGAUAAUGGCAGUACCGGGAGAAUAAGCUCCGGCUAACUCCGUG
rnacentral:rRNA from 1 species